rnacentral:rRNA from 1 species
AACGAACGCUGGCGGCAGGCCUAACACAUGCAAGUCGAACGCCCCGCAAGGGGAGUGGCAGACGGGUGAGUAACGCGUGGGAACCUUCCCAGUGAUACGGAAUAACUGACCGAAAGGUUGGCUAAUACCGUAUACGCCCGAAAGGGGAAAGAUUUAUCGCCAUUGGAUGGGCCCGCGUCGGAUUAGCUAGUUGGUGAGGUAAUGGCUCACCAAGGCGACGAUCCGUAGCUGGUCAGAGAGGAUGAUCAGCCACACUGGGACUGAGACACGGCCCAGACUCCUACGGGAGGCAGCAGUGGGGAAUAUUGGACAAUGGGCGCAAGCCUGAUCCAGCCAUGCCGCGUGAGUGAUGAAGGUCUUCGGAUUGUAAAACUCUUUCGCCGGGGAAGAUAAUGACGGUACCCGGAGAAGAAGCUCCGGCUAACUUCGUGCCAGCCGCCGCCGUAA